rnacentral:rRNA from 1 species
AGAGUUUGAUCCUGGCUCAGGACGAACGCUGGCGGCGUGCUUAACACAUGCAAGUGGAGCGACGAACCAGGGCUUGCCCUGGGGCAAAGCCGCGAACGGGUGAGUAACACGUGGGUUACCUGCCCCGAUGACCGGGACAACCCGAGGAAACUCGGGCUAAUACCGGAUGUGACCGUAAGGUGAAAGGAAGCUUCGGCCUCCGCAUCGGGAUGGGCCCGCGGCCCAUUAGCUUGUUGGUGGGGUAAUGGCCUACCAAGGCGACGAUGGGUAGCUGGUCUGAGAGGAUGAUCAGCCACACUGGGACUGAGACACGGCCCAGACUCCUACGGGAGGCAGCAGUGGGGAAUCUUGCGCAAUGCGCGAAAGCGUGACGCAGCAACGCCGCGUGGGGGAAGAAGGCUUUCGGGUUGUAAA